rnacentral:rRNA from 1 species
AUUGAACGCUGGCGGCAUGCUUUACACAUGCAAGUCGAGCGGCAGCGCGGGGGCAACCCUGGCGGCGAGCGGCGAACGGGUGAGUAAUGCAUCGGAACGUACCCUGGAGUGGGGGAUAACGCCGCGAAAGCGGCGCUAAUACCGCAUAUGCUCUGAGGAGGAAAGUGGGGGACCGCAAGACCGCGCGCUAUUAGAUGAGCCUGCGUUGGAUUAGCUAGUUGGUGGGGUAAAGGCCUACCAAGGCGACGAUCCAUAGCUGGUCUGAGAGGACGAUCAGCCACACUGGGACUGAGACACGGCCCAGACUCCUACGGGAGGCAGCAGUGGGGAAUAUUGGACAAUGGGCGGAAGCCUGAUCCAGCAAUACCGCGUGUGUGAAGAAGGCCUGAGGGUUGUAAAGCACUUUCAAUAGGAAGGAAUACCUACCAGUUAAUACCUGGUAGACUGACAUUACCUAUACAAGAAGCACCGGCUAACUCCGUGCCAGCCGCCGCCGUAAAAC